CCUGUUUUCUAUUACUUUUUAUUUUGGGCAGAAAAUGCGUCAACUUAUUAUUUGGCAUCAAUUUCUCCUUCUAUGUAUUUUGCCUUAUUUACUUGUGAACAGAUGUUAUUAGCUAACAGUACCAAAUUCAGUAAUCAUAAAAUCUCAGAAGUAAUGUUUUGACAUGAAUAGUAAUUCAAAUUUAGAAGUAUUUAUGGACAACCUAGAAACCUUACUUAAGUUAAUUAUUUUCUUAUUCUUCUCUUGCCACCGGAUUAACUUCCUUUGUCUACAAAUGGGAGAUACCAAUUUUUUUAAGACAUGUGGAAACAAAUGUUAUCUCCAACAAUUUUGGCAAUUUGGGACUUGAACUGAGCUUGUCCAAGUUCUUUAACUAAUGGUUAAAGUAGACGAAGUAGUUUGCAUUUCUUUUGCAGAUUAAGAAAAACAUUGAGGAAUAUUCCUCCGCAUAAAUAGCCACCCAGUGAAGCAGGCAAUGUGUUUGCUACCUACAUGUUAAGGUUGAAUAAACGGGCACAGGAACACAACAGAAAUCUGGAGACCAGCGUGUGGCUCGAAGGGGUAUCCCCGAGGCGAUGUCAAUGAACCUCUUUUUUCCUACUUGGAAGUGGAAGAGAUUGUCCUAGAGGAUUUCUGAAGUUCCUUUCAUCGUGGCAGAAGUCUCAGACUGGGCCACAUGAAUCAGAGCGAGUGGAGAGGAGGACAGAGCUGACCCCAACAGGAGCAGAAGCGGAGAGAAACCAGCUUGGGUUUGUCCUGGCCGCACUUCACUCACGGAACCAAUAAUUGCAUCAGUGAGAGUUCAGUCAGGGAAGCAGAGGCGUCAAGAGCAUCGGAAGAGAAGGCGUUAGGAAUUUGAGACAUGACACAAAUGGAAGACGAAUGAGGGAGACCGCCCCAAGAGGCUGGCUAUUAUGGACUGAUCUACUGCCUCGCUCUUUAGCUUCCACUUGGUCCAUGGGAGCACCUAUGGGAGGAGCCAACAGGAGGAGACAGAAGGGUAGGAGAGAAAUUUGGACACAGACAUGGAGGGAAGGGAACGUGAAGGCACAGUGAGAAGAGCGGCACGGGCAAUCCAAGGAGAGAGGUCCUUCCCUCACAGCCUUCAGAAGAAAUCAACCCUGCCAAUACCUUGAUUUUGGACUUCAGUCCCCAGAACUGCACCCCAUCAUCAGUAGGAGUUAGCGUGGCAAGGCUUGAUGGUUCAACCAUGAAUUCCUUACGUCAUUUGCUUCUUGAACUAGGUUUCUGCCAGGUGCAUAGAGACAAUUACGAAAUUUGCUUGAAGAUAUUAAAAAAAAACCACUGCGCAAACACACAUAAAGGGAAAGAAUGCAAAAAAGGAAUAGCUGGAACAAGAAUGACAAAGUGGCCACGCCUGAAUUUGGGGAGGAGUUCGCUAUGUUAUUCUGUUCGUAAUCUUUCAUAUUAAAAAGUUUAAAAUGAUAUUUAAAGUCCUGCAAGUUACCCCUGGCCUCUACUACUGAAAAGAUUUUACUGUGCCUGCAAUAAAUGGAAACUCAAAAGCAUAAAACAAGGGCAAAUGUAAAUCUUUUAGGUAAAACAGCAAAUGAAGUUAUGGA